UGGAAUUCUGAAUUCAAACCUGGCCUCCCAGCUCUUAUGAAAGUAUAUAUGUCAAGGAAAUUCUGAGCACAUGAGGUCAACCGUGUCUGGGAGAGAAGGAAUGUGUGGCGUGGAGUGGCCAGCGUCCCCUCCUCCAGGGAGGCUGGGAGGAUCCGGCUGCGGGCACAUGUGUUUGCUGAGUCGGCCUCCUCAAGAGUGGAGAAUGGGGCAUUCGCAAGAGGUUUUGAGCUGAUUCUUCUUGACUUUCUGGUCACUAGGAGUGUCUACUCUGCCGUGGGGGCUGGGCCCCUCCUGACUCAGAGCGGGCCCCUCAGCCUGAAGGAGCCCGGGGAAGACCUGCUCCAGCUUGGCGGAGUCGUGGUGCCCUGGGGAGGCAGAGACUCGGCUGCUGGCCGCGUUCCGAGCAGCUGGAAAGAAUCCUCCCCGUCUUGGAGAGAAGCCUCUACUGGACCCGAACCAGCGAAGGCAGGCCCAGGCGUCUGGGGAAAAGCCACCAGUGGGGCCAGCCCUGCUCCCUGCAGGGGAGCUGCCGUGUCCGUCGCAGAGGAACUUGGCUUCCAGUCCGGUGCAUCCUCUGUGGCUGCUUUGGUGCUACGACCCGCGGAGUUGAGUAGUCAGACCGGGACUGGUUUGCUGGCGAAGCCUGAAAUAUUUCCAAGCUGGCUUUUUACUGACUAAGUUGGGUGACCCCUGCUCUCGAUCAAUGGUUCCUGAGUCUGCCGCCUCUCAGGACCAUGGGGGGACGUUAAAAA
rnacentral:lncRNA from 1 species